rnacentral:rRNA from 2 species
UACGUAGGGGGCGAGCGUUGUCCGAAGUUACUGGGCGUAAAGCGCGUGUAGGCGGGUCUUUAAGUGAGGGGUGAAAGGUUUGGGCUUAACCCAGACACUGCCUUUCAUACUGGAGACCUUGAGUGCGGGAGAGGCGAGUGGAAUGGUCGGUGUAGCGGUGAAAUGCGUAGAUAUCGAUCGGAACACCCAUGGCGAAGGCAGCUCGCUGGCCUGUAACUGACGCUGAGACGCGAAAGCGUGGGGAGCAAACAGG